ACGUACACUCCUACGGGAGGCAGCAGUGGGGAAUAUUGGACAAUGGGGGCAACCCUGAUCCAGCCAUGCCGCGUGAGUGAUGAAGGCCCUAGGGUUGUAAAGCUCUUUUGUGCGGGAAGAUAAUGACGGUACCGCAAGAAUAAGCCCCGGCUAACUUCGUGCCAGCAGCCGCGGUAAUACGAAGGGGGCUAGCGUUGCUCGGAAUCACUGGGCGUAAAGGGUGCGUAGGCGGGUCUUUAAGUCAGGGGUGAAAUCCUGGAGCUCAACUCCAGAACUGCCUUUGAUACUGAGGAUCUUGAGUCCGGAAGAGGUGAGUGGAACUGCGAGUGUAGAGGUGAAAUUCGUAGAUAUUCGCAAGAACACCAGUGGCGAAGGCGGCUCACUGGUCCGGUACUGACGCUGAGGCACGAAAGCGUGGGGAGCAAACAGGAUUAGAAACCCGAGUAGUCCCAUGA
rnacentral:rRNA from 1 species